GGAAAUGUAAAAUCUUUGCUAAUUUAAUUUAUACUGAAUAACAUAAAGUAGUAUUGUCAAAUUAAUUUCAUUGUGUAUAUUUAUGUGGAAACCAAGUACAACUAAAAAAUCUAACCAGUGCCUUUUCAAGAACAAGUAGCUUUGUGACUCCGCUCCUCUCCCGUCUCUCAUGUUUACCUACCCAGAAAACCUGUAGAAAUUGCAAAUGUUAGAAAAGAUUUACAGAUAUUCUUUUCUUGAGCUAUUCUUAAACAACAACAUGAAAGCGAUUUUAAUCCCCCCCCCCCCCCAAUUUCCUAAACCAAAAGGGGUAACAAAUACCGCUAUAUUUUAUAUUUACUUUUCAUAUUUCAUUUGAGGAAGCAACAAUCUUGUCAGUGGAAUAUGAUGGUGCAGAGUAUGUUGAAAUAACAUGAACAUGGAAUAGUCGUGAACAUAUCAGAUAAGAAAAUUCCAUGUUAAAAAUCUCAUGCUAAUCGUAACCUUUUGAAAGUUUAUUAAACAAUAGGUGUUAAUUUUUAAUUUUUAUUCUUAUAAGCAAGUUAGAAUGACAUUUAUAUAAUUUCGCUAUUUAAUUAAGGGUUUCAUGCUUUGAAUAUAUAGAUAGCAUAUAAGGGAUAAAAUGAAAAGUCACAUGAAUAAAUAGAUUUGGUGGCUGGCCAAAAAGAGUUAUAGAGACUACCCGAUCAAAUUCUUCUUUUUGUUUUUUUGUUUUAAUUGUUUUGAUUGCGGUCGAUAAAUUUAAUCUGCAAUAUACAUAUAUUUUUAUUAUCUCCCUCCACUCUUUUUUCUUUGAAUCGAUCCGCACAUCGCGCGAGUACGUAUACUAGUACAAUAAAUGAGUGGGAGGACAACUAUUAAAUUGCACAAUAAAUGGAGAGAUCAAAAUUAUGAUUGCAAAAAAAAUAAUAUUGUGAUUGAAUAUUAAGGAUCUCUCUUUAUUGAGUUUUAUAUAAAAAAUGUUAAAAUAUAUGUAUAAGAUGAAGGAAAGAAGAGGGUUAUAAUGAGUUUGAAUUAUCACAACCAACUCUAGAGGCUUUAGUGAAAUUAAGGAACCUUUUAAGAAUGCUUGAAAUAAAACAAGUAAAUGGUUGAAACUGAAAGAGAAGUUUUGAGCGUUUUUUUCAGAUUGAAUUCGCUCAGUUUGUAUUGUGAAAAAACAAAUGUGGUCAAAGUUAAAGUAUAAACGAAUGGAAUCAUUUAAGCUAGAAAUUAAAUUCCUAAUAUCGACUUGAUAAUAAAUAUCGAAUUUCAUGUCCCUACAUGCCUACAUAUCAAAGAUGAGCUCGUUAUAAUCCAGAUACCUUGUUGAUAUAAGCUCUUGCUAUUCAUUUUUUAUUAUGAUUUUGCGACCAAAUAGAUAAAUACUAGUGUUACGAAAUAUGCUACGUCCUUUAAACUUUAUUAUCUUGUAACAACUCAAUUUUUUUAAACCUAAUUCUAUUCUAACCUAAUCAAGUGCAACAUGGCACUUUAAAUCAUCAAAAGCCAUUUUGAUAAAGGAUUGUUUUGUAUGAAUUUUUUUUCCUUUGAAUAUAUUUUCCAAUGUUUAGUUGGUACGUAACUUAUGUUAUAAAUAUUAGAGUACGGUUCUCAUGUAAAAUAUAGAGUAAUUUUUUUUAAAGAACCACCGUCAUGCAUGGCUCACAUAGAAUUUGUCACACUUGAAGAAACAAGAAAAUACAAUGCCUUUUGACUUGUGGAGUAUGCACAGUCUCCACAAGUCACUUUAGGUUAUAUUAUUAUUAUUAUUAUUAUUAUUAUUAUUAUUAUUAUUAUUAUUAUUAUUAUUAUUAUUAUUAUUAUUAUUAUUAUUAUUAUUAUUAUUAUUAUUAUUUUUGGUAACAAGCACUUUAAGGUUAACAAGAAGAAUACAAAGGGAGAAAGAAAUGUUCAAAAGGUGAACUAGUUUGUACUUCAUGAAAUAUAAGAUUCGAAAGAGGCCCUUUUUUAAUUUAAUUUUAUCCAGAACCACUGUACAUUUGUGCUUUCCUUCGGGGUGCUUUGAUGAAAUCAUAAUGAAUUAACCAAAAUAAUCACCCAACGGCUUAAACGAAAAAUAGCUGGUAGAGGUAUAUCCAAUGGGCGUUAGAGCAUUGAGAUGAACUUUACCUAGUACGAGAGGACCGGGAAGGACACACCUUUGAUGUAUCAGUUAUCGUGCCCAUGGUAAACACUGGGUAGCCAAGUGCGGAGCGGAUAACUGUUGAAAGCAUUUAAGUAGUAAGUCCACCCCAAAUAAACAAUGAAUAUAACCGGCUAUUUGUGUAAAGCUAAAAGUUUUCUCCGUUUUAAUAUCAAUAUCAUACAAACACAGGUAGAGUUAGGUGGGCGAAAGGGGGCCCUAGCCUAAAUUAUGCUGUAUAUGUAAGAUUAAAUUUUUAUGUAUAUAUAUUAGAUGUUGAAUUUACUUUUUUAUUUUUUAAAUCUCCCUUUUUACCAUAGUAAAUAAUAAAUAAAGAAUUUUCCUUUGUUUUAAUAUGGGGUAUCAUAUAGUAAUAAAUAAAGGUAAGAUUUCCCGUGAUGGACCCCAAUACUCGCUAUAACGGACCUUUCACAAUCUGACACUAUUUGACCGUUACAAAUUAUAAUUUUUAAAAAUUAUUCAAAUUUGGCCCACAUUAUUGCCACUCCAACUUUUGCUUUGCGCAGAUACUCAACUCAAUGUUCUCUUUCCCUCUCUCUCAAAUCCUCAUUUCUUCUGUUUACUCAAGAACCAAUUUUAGCUUCCAUCCCUCAAUUUUCCAUCAAGCAUUUUGAAGUUUCUUAGUAUAAACUCAGCUUUCUUAGUAAAUUAUUGAGAAUCAGGAAAGGGCAUGUUUGGGAUAAGGGGGUUUUAUUCAUAAAAUGCCAGUUUCCACAAGAUCUCAGAUUACUGACUCUCAGGUAAAAAAUGAUCUAAGAAUUAGACCAAGAACAGAUCAAGAAGAUUCCCAAAUGUCUAGAAAUAUGAGAAAUCCACACCACGGGUUGAAAGAGAAGAUGAAAGCACUUACUCUUUUAUAUGAACAGCAAAAACAAGCCGCUGCUGCUACCAAGAAUCAAUAUUUCAAGCCUGAAGAGCCAAGAUUUUCG
rnacentral:lncRNA from 1 species